rnacentral:rRNA from 1 species
UGCCAGACUCCUACGGGAGGCAGCAGUGGGGAAUAUUGCACAAUGGGGGAAACCCUGAUGCAGCAACGCCGCGUGAGUGAAGAAGUAUUUCGGUAUGUAAAGCUCUAUCAGCAGGGAAGAGAAUGACGGUACCUGACUAAGAAGCCCCGGCUAACUACGUGCCAGCAGCCGCGGUAAUACGUAGGGGGCAAGCGUUAUCCGGAUUUACUGGGUGUAAAGGGAGCGUAGACGGCGAUACAAGUCUGAAGUGAAAGCCCGGGGCUCAACCCCGGGACUGCUUUGGAAACUGUGUUGCUGGAGUGCUGGAGAGGCAAGCGGAAUUCCUAGUGUAGCGGUGAAAUGCGUAGAUAUUAGGAAGAACACCAGUGGCGAAGGCGGCUUGCUGGACAGUAACUGACGUUGAGGCUCGAAAGCGUGGGGAGCAAACAGGAUUAGAUACCCUCGUA